rnacentral:rRNA from 1 species
AUUGAACGCUGGCGGCAUGCCUUACACAUGCAAGUCGAACGGCAGCACGGGGGGUAACCCCUGGUGGCGAGUGGCGAACGGGUGAGUAAUAUAUCGGAACGUGUCCUGUAGCGGGGGAUAACCUAUCGAAAGAUGGACUAAUACCGCAUACGACCUACGGGUGAAAGCGGAGGACCGCAAGGCUUCGCACUAUAGGAGCGGCCGAUACCGGAUUAGCUAGUUGGCGGGGUAACGGCCCACCAAGGCGACGAUCCGUAGCUGGUCUGAGAGGACGAUCAGCCACACUGGAACUGAGACACGGUCCAGACUCCUACGGGAGGCAGCAGUGGGGAAUUUUGGACAAUGGGCGCAAGCCUGAUCCAGCCAUGCCGCGUGAGUGAAGAAGGCCUUCGGGUUGUAAAGCUCUUUCGGCGGGGACGAAACGGUUCGUGCUAAUACCACGGACUACUGACGGUACCCGCAGAAGAAGCACCGGCUAACUACGUG